rnacentral:rRNA from 1 species
CCCUACGGGAGGCUGCAGUGAGGAAUAUUGGUCAAUGGCCGGAAGGCUGAACCAGCCAUGCCGCGUGAAGGUCAGUGCCCUAUGGGCGUUAAACUUCUUUUGUGCGGGAGCAAUAAUGGUCACGUGUGGCCAGACGAGAGUACCGUACGAAUAAGCAUCGGCUAACUCCGUGCCAGCAGCCGCGGUAAUACGGGGGAUGCAAGCGUUAUCCGGAUUUAUUGGGUUUAAAGGGUGCGUAGGCUGUGAGGUAAGUCAGCGGUGAAAUGCCCCCGCUCAACGGGGUGAAGUGCCAUUGAUACUGCCUUGCUGGAAUGCGGAUGCCGUGGGAGGAAUGUGUAGUGUAGCGGUGAAAUGCAUGUGUAGCGCAGAGAAGAACAAAUAUGAAAGCAGCUCACUAAUCCGAGAUUGACGCUGAUGCACGAAAGCGUGGGGAUCGAACAGGAUUAGAUACCCUAGUAGUCC